rnacentral:rRNA from 1 species
CAUGCAAGUCGAACGCUGAAGCACCAGCUUGCUGGUGUGGAUGAGUGGCGAACGGGUGAGUAAUACGUGAGUAACCUGCCCUUGACUCUGGGAUAAGCCCGGGAAACUGGGUCUAAUACUGGAUGCUACAUGUCACCGCAUGGUGGUGUGUGGAAAGGGUUUACUGGUCUUGGAUGGGCUCACGGCCUAUCAGCUUGUUGGUGAGGUAAUGGCUCACCAAGGCGACGACGGGUAGCCGGCCUGAGAGGGUGACCGGCCACACUGGGACUGAGACACGGCCCAGACUCCUACGGGAGGCAGCAGUGGGGAAUAUUGCACAAUGGGCGAAAGCCUGAUGCAGCGACGCCGCGUGAGGGAUGACGGCCUUCGGGUUGUAAACCUCUUUCAGCAGGGAAGAAGCCACAAGUGACGGUACCUGCAGAAGAAGCGCCGGCUAACUACGUGCCAGCAGCCGCGGUAAUACGUAGGGCGCAAGCGUUGUCCGGAAUUAUUGGGCGUAAAGAGCUCGUAGGCGGUUUGUCGCGUCUGCUGUGAAAGCCCGGGGCUUAACCCCGGGUGUGCAGUGGGUACGGGCAGACUAGAGUGCAGUAGGGGAGACUGGAAUUCCUGGUGUAGCGGUGGAAUGCGCAGAUAUCAGGAGGAACACCGAUGGCGAAGGCAGGUCUCUGGGCUGUUACUGACGCUGAGGAGCGAAAGCAUGGGGAGCGAACAGGAUUAGAUACCCUGGUAGUCCAUGCCGUAAACGUUGGGCACUAGGUGUGGGGGACAUUCCACGUUUUCCGCGCCGUAGCUAACGCAUUAAGUGC